rnacentral:hammerhead_ribozyme from 1 species
AUCCAGCUGACGAGUCUGAAAUAGGACGAAAUGCGCGUCAAACUGAAU